rnacentral:lncRNA from 1 species
CUAUAAUUUUUUUACCAGCAGUUAGAUACUUGAAAAUUGGAGUGGAUUAAAAUAAACAAAAAACUAUUUCCCAAAUGAAAACAACUUAUCACAUGUUAUAAUUUCUGUUUAUUUAGAACCUUUCCACCUCCAGAUGCUUUUUAAGAUCAGUUCAUAAAAUUCCUUGAACAAGAAAACAUUUCAUCAUGUGGAAAUAAAUAUUUUUCUGCUUUCGCAUAUUUGAUCGGAAAGGGAAGACACAUGCCUCUCCUAAUAUCCCCGCCUGGGAAAUAAAGUAGAAUGGGGAGGAGGAAUGCUGAGUGGUUCUGCGAUCCAGUGAAGAGAGAAAACAAAGACAAUGUGAUAAAGAAAAAGAGGCCUUGUGCUGACUGAAUGCCCUAACCUGAGGGCUUUGCAAUUGCUUAGUCCAUUAUCUACAUCCCCAGGAUCAAAUGUGAGAUAUUUAGAGAUAUUUAUCAAAGAAAGGAGGAAAUAAAGCCACAAAACAAGGUGAAUUAAUGUAGGGAAACCAUUAUGUUAAAUGCAUUUUCAGUAUAGGAGAGCAAAUUCAAAUAAAUGGGUAAAAUACAUGUAUAUAUAAGAAAAUAUGAUUUUAUAAAAUUUCAGAAUAAGCGUGUUAGCAAAAGCAUGUUGGCCGGCAGGAUGUUUCCACUCUUAUCAUCAUGACCACAUUAUGGCUGUAAAGUGAAACAAAAAUAGGACUUAUUAUUAACAUGUCCUUCUAGCAAUGAAUUCUAUGGUAUCAUCUUUUUUAGUGGCAAUCUUUCUUAUUCUCUAGAUGAGAUGAAUAUUUAUGCUUGUCUCCUGUGUUCCAGAUAAAAGGAAAUGAUAGCACAUUCCCUACUAAGUGAAAAAGUUAGCUCUGCACUUAACUGGCUUUCAACUGCAAACUACACAGAAAAUAUUGAUGCAGAUAACAUAACAGGCUUUCAUAAGAAACACGCAGAUUUCAUAGGAAUCCAACAAAUUCACAUCUAUUAA